rnacentral:rRNA from 1 species
GACGAACGCUGGCGGCGUGCUUAACAUAUGCAAGUCGAACGGUAAGGCCCUUCGGGGUACACGAGUGGCGAACGGGUGAGUAACACGUGGGUGAUCUGCCCUGCACUUCGGGAUGAGCCUGGGAAACUGGGUCUAAUACCGGAUAGGACCACUGCCUGCAUGGGUGGUGGUGGAAAGCUUUUGCGGUGUGGGAUGGGCCCGCGGCCUAUCAGCUUGUUGGUGGGGUGAUGGCCUACCAAGGCGACGACGGGUAGCCGGCCUGAGAGGGUGACCAGCCACACUGGGACUGAGAUACGGCCCAGACUCCUACGGGAGGCAGCAGUGGGGAAUAUUGCACAAUGGGCGCAAGCCUGAUGCAGCGACGCCGCGUGAGGGAUGACGGCCUUCGGGUUGUAAACCUCUUUCAGCACCGACGAAGCGCAAGUGACGGUAGGUGCAGAAGAAGGACCGGCCAACUACGUGCCAGCCGCCGCCGUAA